GACCUCGCGCUAAAAUGAUUUGUCCUUUCGUGACGUCACCAAGAGUGGAAGGUGGGGCAGAACAAGUGAGUCUUCAGUCGUCAUCAAGGCGGUUCUUGUCGAGAGGUCUGACUUCUGCAUCCUGAUGCCGUGGGUAAACCAGCACCGAAGUCUGUCCACAGCCCUCUCCAGGUAGAGGUGAGAGUCCUGGAACGUUGAAUUCGGGUCCAGGCCGGUGGUUUAGUACUGGUCCACGACGUUGGGAUCCAGAUGACCUGAACAACCAGCAAAAGACAAUUGAGGGUGAGAAAACACUUUUUGGUCUUAAACCGCCGGAAGGGUUUAGAAGAAUGCGCAAAAUAGGUUAGAAGUAGCCGGAAUUACUUCAGGAAAUGCGCAAAGGUUGGAAGUAGCCGGAAUUACUUC